rnacentral:rRNA from 1 species
UACGGAGGGGGCGAGCGUUAUUCGGAAUUAUUGGGCGUAAAGGGUGCGUAGGCGGCUUGAUGUGUCAAAGGUGAAAUCCCUCGGCUCAACUGAGGAACUGCCUUUGAAACUGUCUGGCUUGAGGCCGGGAGAGGGUAGCGGAAUUCCCAGUGUAGCGGUGAAAUGCGUAGAUACUGGGAGGAACACCGGUGGCGAAGGCGGCUACCUGGACCGGAACUGACGCUGAGGCGCGAAAGCGUGGGUAGCAAACAGG